rnacentral:rRNA from 1 species
GUAGGGUGCAAGCGUUAAUCGGAAUUACUGGGCGUAAAGCGUGCGCAGGUGGUUGUGCGAGACAGAUGUGAAAUCCCCGGGCUUAACCUGGGAACUGCAUUUGUGACUGCAUGGCUAGAGUGCGGCAGAGGGGGAUGGAAUUCCGCGUGUAGCAGCGAAAUGCGUAGAUAUGCGGAGGAACACCGAUGGCGAAGGCAAUCCCCUGGGCCUGCACUGACACUCAUGCACGAAAGCGUGGGGAGCAAACAGGAUUAGAUACCCUGGUAGUCCACGCCCUAAACGAUGUCAACUGGUUGUUGGACGGCUUGCUGUUCAGUAACGAAGCUAACGCGUGAAGUUGACCGCCUGGGGAGUACGGCCGCAAGGUUG